AUACAUGUGGUUGUUGUAGAUGUUGUUGUACAACAAGAGAUGUCGCUACUUUAUUAAUAUACUUUGCAAAAUACCAAAAUAUUGGAAUUACUACAACAACAGAAUACGAUCAAUAUAAACAUAUUUGGGGGAAUUACUGAAUUAAAAGAUAUAAUAAUCAACCAAAACAAUGUUUUAAGUGAGGUGCUUUCGAAACUUUGAAGAACCAAAGUUUACUACAAUUUUCCCAUUACCAUCUGACGAUGAAUUAAACAAUUUUGAGAAAAUGAUAAAUUCAGAGAAUAAAAGUGAAAUUGUAUUUUCAGUAAAGCGAGUCUUGGGUACCAAAGGACUACAAAAAGGAAUUUCGAACAUAUUUUCAAAGGAUAUAAUCAUAAAUUAUAAUGUUCGGGGUAUACAAGGCAAAAAGCGGCUAUAGGAUUUUAAAAAGGUUAUCAAUAUUUUAUUUCUGGCAACGUCAUCCGAAGGUGGUACUGAGAUAGAAUUUUAUGGGGAACUUCGCAAAGCCUUUAAAGCAGCGAAAAAUAAACAUUUUAAAUUUGAAUGCUUAAAACGUAAAAAACUCGACAAUGAAACAGAUUCUUCAAAUUAACUUUAGCAUACGACGACUUUUAAUUUAUUUCAUAAAAACUUCCUCAUUUUAUUGAUGUUAUAUUUAAUUAUAUAAUUAUAUUAAUUAUAUAAAAACUACAUUUCUAUUUCUGAAC